rnacentral:tRNA from 1 species
CAAGAAUAACAAUCAUCUUCGAAAUGAUAAAAAAAAAUUCUUUA